rnacentral:rRNA from 1 species
UGUACCUGCUGGCGUUACGCGGUGGUGAUACAUGUGGGUCUAGGGUUAUUCGGUUUUCCUAGUCGUAAAUGUUUCGUAGGCGGCUGAUUAAGUCUGAUGUUCAAUCCCUGAGCUUAACUUAGGAAUUGCAUUCGCUACUGGUCAGCUAGAGUAUGGGAGAGGAUUGUAGAAUUCCAGGUGUAGCGGUGACAUGCGUAGAGAUCUGGAGGAAUACCGAUGGCGAAGGCAGCCAUCUGGCCUAAUACUGACGCUGAGGUACGAAAGCAUGGGGAGCAAACAGGAUUAGAUACCCUAGUAGUC